rnacentral:rRNA from 1 species
GACGAACGCUGGUGGCGUGCUUAACACAUGCAAGUCGAACGGGAUUUAGUAAACAGAAGCCUCGGUGGAAGAUUACUACUGAGAGUGGCGAACGGGUGAGUAACGCGUGAGCAACCUGCCUAUGACAGUGGGAUAGCCUCGGGAAACCGGGAUUAAUACCGCAUAAAAUCGUAGAAACACAUGUUUUAACGGUCAAAGAUUUAUCGGUCAUAGAUGGGCUCGCGUCUGAUUAGCUAGUUGGUGAGAUCACAGCCCAGCAAGGCGACGAUCAGUAGCCGGGCUGAGAGGAGGAACGGCCACAUUGGAACUGAGACACAGUCCCAACUCCUACGGGAGGCAGCAGUGGGGAAUAUUGCACAAUGGGGGAAACCCUGAUGCAGCGACGCCGCGUGAACGAAGAAGGUAUUCGUAUCGUAAAGUUCUGUCCUAUGGGAAGAUAAUGACAGUACCAUAGAAGAAAGCGCCGGCUAAAUACGUG